rfam:Ictidomys tridecemlineatus contig029427, whole genome shotgun sequence.
AGUGGUGUGGCUCAGUGGUAGAGUGCUUGCCUAGCAUGCAUGAGGCAUUGGAUUCAAUCCUCAGCACCACAU